AUCAGUUCCAAAUGCCCCAGAGUAGAUCUUAUAUCUCUACACAUGUUUAAGUUCACUGUGUAUCAAGUGUGUUAGCUUUUAGAAAGAUAAACUCAAUGGGGUCAUUAGUUGAAUUGAAACUAAGUUUUCUCUGCUUAAAAAUUUUAAUUAUGGUGUUAAGUCAGGUUCUACUGGUAGAAGUAUGUAACAGCAUGACACACAGUUUAUGAUCUGGUAUUUUACAAGUGCUAUCAAGUGACCCUGUCUCAGCAAGUUUUUAAAACACUCCCUAACUACUAUUAGUCAUUAGUGACCUUAGGAAUAUAUUGUUGCUGGUAAGCACAUUAAAAGAAUUUAUGAUACUAUGUAUAAUGCAAUGAUUUAUAUGCCAAUUUAUAUGUAGCUCCCUUGCAAAACAAGAAUUGUUCUAAAUUAUUUUUCAUUGAAGUCUACUUUUUUCUUUUACAUUGCCAAAAUCAUACUUUAUUUGGUUCUUUUAUAGGCAUUGGUGGUUUGGAGUUAUGAACUUACUUUACUUCUACUUGCUUCACUACAUGCAGAAUUCUUACCAUGACACAGUUCUGCUUACAAAAACUGCACUUGGGAUGUGGCAGGAAAACCUAGAGUACACUGACUUUCUUUUCUGCAGGAAGAAUAAUAGUUCAGUUAUUCUGUGCUGGAAGCUGGAUUUGAAAACUUACAUGGUGCAAAAUAGCUCAGACAGAUAUUUGAAAUGAAAGUAAUUUUUCCUAGUCAGUGCUUCUUUCUGUAUUAAAAUCUGUGAACUAGUAGUAAUGAAUAUUUUUAUCCAUGGCCAAACCACAACAAAUUCUUUGGGAGGAAAACUCUCUUAGAGGAGUCUCAUAAAGUCUUAUGCCAUCAUUAACUUGUGUUUAAGCCUUUUUAUAAUGUUCAAUAUGUGAGUGCUACCUAGUCAAGAAACUUAAGUCCUGAGGUCAACCUGAAACGUUUGCUAAAUGCAUAUAGCUGUAAGGCUGCUUAUUCCACAUUUUGUGGUAAUACUCUUAGUUGUGAUAAACAUUAAAUUAAUGCAAUAAUGCUUGAACUGACAAAACUGGACCAACAAAGCAUUUUCUUACAGUUAUACCUUAUAGUCAGAUUAUGACUACAUCAUAAAUUAUACCCCUGAUAAGAUUACAGUGUUUCUUACCGCAUUUAUUCAUAGGAAAUGCCUUAGUCUCAGUAACUUAAAAUCCACCAGUUGAUUUGCAGUAUCAGAUACAAAGUUUUCUUAGCUUCCAGAAAACUAAUCAGAUGGUUUCAUAAGAAAAUAUAUGGGCUGGUCUAAGUGCUAAAAUCCAGAGUUACAACAAGGAAGAAGUCAACCACUCACACAACACAGCCUCCCUUGAAUUUACCCCCAGGAUAAGAACAAGGAUUUCCUUAUCAUGAGUGAUAACUAUAGUAGAACACAUGGCUUAUCAUUCUACCUCGCUUUUCAAUAUCUCUAACCAGGUUCCAGUGCUUACUGCAAUGUUAGGAGCUUGUUAACCAUAUUAGAAGAUGAGGUGAAUGGACUUAGCAUGCCUUCCUGCUACUCAAGAUGCAGUCUGUGGCCUUGAAGACUCCACCAGCACAGAAAUCAGGAGUUAAGAUCUAUGUAUUGUGAAGCAGCUUUAUUUCCUUCAGACCUUCCAUAGGAGCAUCAUUCAGAAUAAAGGUGUGCACACCUCUUACAGUAGCUAUGGAAUUACUAUGUGAUACAGAUAAAUGUGUUUAGCAGAGACUGAAUUCAGCAAAUAGCUGCUGUAAAUAUAUUUUUUCUUCUAAACCCAUGGAAAACUCUAAUUCUUUGGCAGUGUGUUUUUAUCAGAUGAACAACCAGAAUUAUUUUCUAAAUACACUUUUGCUUCCUAAGGAACAUAAAGAAGAAUUCCACUCCAGUUGUUAUUUAGAAUUGAAGUAGUGGAGAUGAUGUACUUCAAGUAAGUCUGUUAGCUGAAAUGUGAGUUUCCUGUCUCUCAGUGCAAGCAGUUUUGAAUUUUUAGUGUAUUUCCAGCACUGAAACUUUUGAACAGUAUGUGGAUUUUGAGAAUCACUGAACACAUUCUGCUUCUAUUUCUGUGUUUAAUAGAUUAAUCUAGAGUGACCCUGUAUGGACAGGGUAGUAUUUGUGACCUGGACCUGAAUGUAUCCAUGGAGUCAUUUCUUCAAGAAAAUGGUCAACAUUAGGGUUUUGUGGCUUAUAUGCAUAUUUUGCAGUGAUGCAGAGAAACCUUGCCAAGACAUCAGAUUAUGUCAAAGCCACAUAUGAGGUUACCUUUCUGUUACUCCUGCUCAUAUAGGUUUGGAGAGUUGAGAGUUCAUGCUCUCCUGUGUUACAGCCUUGUCUUUCCUGACCUUGGCACAUUUUUCUUUCCUGCCCCUAAUACAAAAGAGAAGCCCAGCAGGGACUCCAAAGUAUCUUCUGUGGAAUGGAGAGCCAUUGUCACUCUUCUGGAAUAGAGAAGAGUGGGUUCUGUAAGUGGAAAAAGACCCUGUUCUAAUUAUGCUUUAUAGUUGGGGUCAGUCUGAUUUCCAUGAAAACUGAACUCAAACAAUGCAGUUCUCUUCACUGGGUACUGACAAAUGGACAUUCACAAACCAUAACUAAAGAAAGUAAUGAGGAAAUGGUUGUUAUUUGAAUGACUCCUAUUUGUAUAACUGGGUAUGUGUGCAGUGAUUGUCUCUUGAGGUACUCCAGGUGUCAGCCAGCCCUUUAACCCACACCUGUCUGAAAGGUAAACAAUGACAUUUUGUUCCUGAUAACAAAUCCUUUCAAUAGAGCAAUCUCAUGAACCUCUGUAAAGUUUAGUUAAGGAAACAAUGAAUGGAGAUUUACUCCCUACUUGCUUAUAGCUCAAGUGACUCCAUCAGGUUAUAUAGCACUGCUUUGGAUGAACGCUAGUAUAAAAGAGAGAAAGGAUAAAACCCACAGGGUCUAACUGAUUUGGGCUAAAUUUGAGGGGCAAUUAAAUUGCUUGUUUUUCUGAAUAACUUGCAAGAUAUAUUGGGUUGAACUUGAUGUGAGCUUGCUGAAAACAAAACAGUAAUUUACUAAACAAACUUUUUUUUAUGACUUUUUUUCCCCCUUAGAUUUUAAAACAGCACUUGACAUAACAGAGAAAGAGGGAUAAAGUUGAAGAUAACAAAUUAGUAGUAUCCUGUUUAAGAACAGUCAGUCACUUCUUUCAAUCAAAACCACACUAACAUGUGGCCUGUUCAAAUAAAAAUUACUAGACUAGAACCAAACACUAAAAAGUAAUUGAUAAUAGAUUUUUUCAGAACCCACUCGUCCAUCAAAUGUGUCACUUCUCCAUAAUACUUUAUUAGUCCUUUUUGCAUCAAAAUUAAGAAAUUUGGCAGAAAAUAAAAACUUGCUUUCCAGCUGGUCCUCAGAGUUCAGAAGGGUUGGGUGUGAACUGGACAUAAUUUCUGAUUAGAACUAAUUUGGCACUAAUAUCUGUGGUCACAUUCAUCAUAAGAUGUUCCAUGACCACAGAUUCACAAAUAAUGUGGUUUACCAAUUCAAUGCCAUAGGUCAAGUCAUGUGCAAUAAGAACUUGUGCAGUCACAGAUUCAUGAAUAGUGUGAUGAACCAAUCUGGCUCUAUAGGUCUGGUCAUAUUAUUCAAGAACACUGGGAACAAAGCUAAAUUAAUAUUGCAGUUUAUUGAAGCAACAUCCAGAUUUGGAAUUGCUGUUGACAAGUGCAUUAGCUGGGAUAGAACUCUAACAAUAACAGUAAUAUUGUGUUAACCUGGGUAAUAAUAAUUAGAAACUUACCAAGAAGGCAUCCCUCCUCAAAAAAAAAAGGGAGGAGACUAGCCAGGCCUCUGUCUCAAGUCUUGUUGAUUUUCCUCCUAAGUGAAAUUCCUACCCUUCUUAUAUACAUUGCAAUCUUAUUCCCCUCCUCCUGUGCUAUAUGUAGCAGAUACAGAUAGGGAGUUGUGUAAAAUAAACAUACAUGUCCUAUCAUGUAAUUAAUUGAGCUUGUUAACAUAUGCAGAGUGUUCAUUUUACAAUUCAAAUAACUCUUAGUGAGGCAAAAGUUAAUUUUUCUUUGUUAUGGUGUCCUUCAAAGUUCCAGUGAUUGGACUCUGCCAUUCUGUCAUUCUUCAAAGCCAAAACAGGACCAUCCUCCUGUCUCCAAAGGACUUCCUCCUUUAGUCAGUUCAUCCCUUCUUGACAUUAACUGUGCAGAUCUCCAUUUGCGAAGAUAACACAGAGAGAACACAGUGUAGGUCCUAGAUAGUAAGCUGUAGCCCUUUCCUGGCUCCUUGGUCAUCAUCCCACUCGCCUCCUAAGGAAAGAUCUUUAAAAGUCAUUGUGUGCACUUAAAACAAAGUGUCCCUGUCCCAGUUUAUAAUGAUUGUCUUUUAGAUUGGAUUUGUUUUGUUAUUUAAUUGCAUUCUCUUAUGCUGUGCAUCUUUAGACAGUUGCUAGAAAUUUUUGCAGCUCUUAAACAAAGAAUCUUUUGUGCUAUAUCAGCUUGCAUUUUCCUUGGAUUGUGUUGUGCUGGUGUCCUUUCACUGACUUCAGCAGCGACUAUUGUAGUCAUAGCUUCACUAAGUAGACUGUAACAGAUUCCUUGGUCCUUUCUCUAUGUUGUUUCCUAUCAACUGAUCUGUGGGAAAUGUACUAUAUGCUGUUAAGGCAUAUGUGCUAAUAUAAAAAAUAAAUUACCUUAACUGGAGGAAGCUUUGAGACUCCUAAUACAGUAACCCAGCAGAAAACUUUAUGAAAGUUGUGUACCUACCAAACUCCAUGGAUAUUUUUGUUUAAAUGUUCUGCACUUAUUUUCUACACCAGCCUUUUACAAUUGGCUUUACCAAACAGAUAUUAUGAAAAAUGCUCUGUAAUUUCUUAAUAUGAGAUAACAAGAGAGAGGUAAAUACUGAAUUCAUUCAAUUGCAUUAAUGUAUUUCUAUUUUUCCCUACAGUUGAAAGAACAACAGUGAACACAGUUGUAGAAAGAUUAUUACUCUGAAUUAGAGAGCAGUGUGAACACAUCUAUUGUACUAGUUUUGUAUGGUCUACCAAUGAUAACUAUCAAAUUACAGACUGCAGUAUAGUUAAGAGGUCAAGUACUGGAGUGCUAAUUGAUUCAUACAAGUGCUUUGUAUUCUAAUGUUUAGAAUGCUAUUUCAUAUAAUAAAGUGGUAGAGCUCACAACUUGUGUCAUGAGAAGAAAGCAGAUUCUCAUGACAGUGCAGGACUAGAAGCAUUUUAAGCAGGAAGAGCUGAUGAUGGAGGCGCAGUUCUGGUAAGAGUAUCUGGAAGCACACUUGAACAAAGACCAUCCACACCCCCCUCCAAUAAGAUGUGCAUUGUCUCUGGACCCUCAGAGAGAAGUUUGUACUCACGUGCUGUCUGUAGUACAUUCUUUCACUUUGGAAAUACUAUUAAUUGAUACUAUGUUUCGAAGUGAAAAAGUUCAUUACCUACUUCCUGCUCUGGAAACUAAAGCCGCUGCUCCCCUUCCCACCCCCAAGAAAGAAUUUUAGAGCUACUCCACCUGGGGUUAAUGAACUUAAAUGGAAUAACCUCAGCCCGAAGUCUGAUUUGUCAAACAAGAAUGUUUAAAUCUUUGAAUUGGAUAGCAAAACAAAGUGAGGAUCAAAUAAAUUGGUAGUAAAAGUU